UACGUAGGGACCAAGCGUUGUCCGGAAUCAUUGGGCGUAAAGAGCGUGUAGGCGGCUUGUUAAGUCUUGCGUGAAAUCUCGGGGCUCAACCCCCGAGCGGUCGUGAGAAACUGGCAGGCUAGAGUGCGGGAGAGGAGAGUGGAAUUCCUGGUGUAGCGGUGAAAUGCGCAGAUAUCAGGAGGAACACCGGUGGCGAAGGCGGAUCUCUGGGCCGUAACUGACGCUGAGGAGCGAAAGCAUGGGGGAGCGAACAGG
rnacentral:rRNA from 1 species